UUUGUUAACUUCUAGUCAGUCCCCGUAUUGCUCUGCAACUUUGAAACUGAGCCAGCACGUUCUUCAAGAUACCGGCAACAACAGCAAGAUGUUCGCUAAUUUCCCGGAAUGAUAGUCACAUUUGUUACGAAAUCCGG